CUACGGGGGGCAGCAGUGGGGAAUAUUGGACAAUGGGGGCAACCCUGAUCCAGCCAUGCCGCGUGUGUGAAGAAGGCCCUCGGGUUGUAAAGCACUUUCAGUGAGGAAGAACGCCUGGUGGUUAAUACCCAUCAGGAAAGACAUCACUCACAGAAGAAGCACCGGCUAACUCCGUGCCAGCAGCCGCGGUAAUACGGAGGGUGCGAGCGUUAAUCGGAAUUACUGGGCGUAAAGCGCGCGUAGGUGGCUUGAUAAGCCGGUUGUGAAAGCCCCGGGCUCAACCUGGGAACGGCAUCCGGAACUGUCAAGCUAGAGUGCAGGAGAGGAAGGUAGAAAUCCCGGUGUAGCGGUGAAAUGCGUAGAGAUCGGGAGGAAUACCAGUGGCGAAGGCGGCCUUCUGGACUGACACUGACACUGAGGUGCGAAAGCGUGGGUAGCAAACAGGAUUAAUACCCUAGUAGUC
rnacentral:rRNA from 1 species